UGUAGUCGAUCGCUAGCUGAUCUGAUCCUUGCAUUGCUUGCCUUCCCUGCUGUUAUUGCGGCAAUCCAGCUUACCUGCUGCCUGGUCACCUGCCUGCUGCCUGUAUCCAUUGCAUAAAAGAGCUGCUGAUUCUGCCUGCUGGUUAUUGGAGCAAAGUGGUGAGGUGGUAGUGUAGAAGACUAGCAAGGCAGUCAUCUUUCCUCUGCCAUUCAUUGGAGCAAGUUGGUCAGUGA